CAGUCGCCGCGGGAAUACGGAGGGGGCUAGCGUUGUUCGGAAUUACUGGGCGUAAAGCGCACGUAGGCGGCUAUGUAAGUUAGAGGUGAAAGCCUGGAGCUCAACUCCAGAAUUGCCUUUAAGACUGCGUGGCUAGCGGGUGAGAGAGGUGAGUGGAAUUCCGAGUGUAGAGGUGAAAUUCGUAGAUAUUCGGAAGAACACCAGUGGCGAAGGCGGCUCACUGGCUCAUACUGGACGCUGAGGUGCGAAAGCGUGGGGAGCAAACAGGAUUAGAGACCCCCGUAGUCCCUGUCUCUUAUAA
rnacentral:rRNA from 1 species